AUUGCAGGGCUCUCGAGUUUUGAAGAAAGGGAAGAGACAUUUCGGUUGGGCGCUGCGGCAUAUUGAAUAUAUUAUAAAUAGUUUUUCCACGUGAGAAAUACAAUGUGUGGCGGGAGUGCAUGACAAAAGAGGUUGUGGUCAGACUUAAACAGGAAGCUCUGCUUGUGUCAUUUUGCUCAUGCCCUAAAUAUGGAGUGCUAAAACUGAGGUCAUUUCACUAGAAACUGACUGAAACCAGAAAUUACACAAAUUUUAAUGUACCGUCUGGCAGUCUGACAUUUCAGUUCCUCUUUUUAAGGUCAAAACCAUAUUACUCAAGCAGUCAAGAGGAAAUUUGCCUUAGAAAUCUGCAGUCAUGCAACAGCACAACAACUCAAGCUCAAGCGUGGCUGCCAUCCCUGUGGCAAACCAGUGUGAUGACUGUUACGCUGAUGAGUGUCCAGAGGUAUAUUGCAGUGCUGUAUUCGCAGCAGUGGGCAAAACUAGGAGGGAAAGGUGAGAAGGCUCUCCUGUUCUCUCUGUGGCUGCUAGCAUGCAUCCUAUCCAUCCCGACUGCCGUCCUUUCUGACGUUAGGAAGGAGGGAGCGCUGUUUUAUUGUACGAGGGUGUUUACCUCAGAUGGACAAAGAGCUGCAAUCUACAUAUUGGAGACUCUUCUGGGGUUUGUUGCUCCUUUUGCCAUUCUGGUCACAUCCUACUGUUGUCUCCACAGGAAGGUCCAUGAGACUGCCUUUUUCAGCAGCAAAAGACUGACCAAACUGGUCACCAAUAUCUUAGUGACGUUUUUCGUCCUCUGGAUUCCAUUUCAUGUUCUCAACAUUAUCAGUGUUGUGGGCAUUGCCUUGAAAUCGUCUCAUCCAGGUGCAUCUAAACAAUUACUUGACUUCAAUACUGUAACUCAAAAUUUUGUUGAAAGCUUCCUUUUCAUCAACAGCUGUGUGAACCCUUUCCUUUAUGCUUUUGCAUCUCAAAGCCUGCGUCAAAGCACAGAAGACUGACAUCAGAUGGAGGUCUCUAUCCAAAGCAGUGCUCCAUAAUGUUGUCUAAGAUCUUGCUCUGCCGGGCUGCAGUCCUCAAAACAAUAGCUGCCAUGUGUCCCUAUGCACCCAACUACAGACUAGAAGCCAAGAAAACAAGGCCAUGCCUUCAUUUUAUGGUAUGUGGUCAUGGGAAGAGCAGGCAAACACACCUGUCAUUCCCUCUACCUGCCCCACACAAUGCAUCUAGUUCGGGACGGACUAUUGUGCAAAAUGUAAGAAAAGCUUUCACAGCAUGAAUUCGCCAACUAUAUUGCCAAAACUGGUGUUCCGUUAGCAUGCUAGCAUGCCUUUAUCAGUACCAACUGUUGUUCUUGAUGCAAAAUUAUUGGAUGCCAGUACAUAGUUAGCUCUCUAAGCUUUUAUUAGUAACAACUGUCAUCCUGCCGGUGUGGAUCUACUUCCUGCUCUCUGGUUGGGUUUUUGGUCCAGCUCUCUGCAAGUUCCUCUUCUUCAUCGUCUACACCAGUCUGUACGCUUGUAUGCUGACAGUGAUUCUAAUGAGUGUUCAGAGGUUCCUAAUGAUUCUUUAUCCCGUUUUCUGGGCCAAACUGGGCAGAGCAGGUCAGACAGACAGGGGUAGUAGUAUUGAUAAUGCACUGACGACAUAGGGGUAGUAGUAUUGAUCAUGCGCUGAAGAGAGAGAGGUAUUGAUUACGAACUGUUGUGGUGUAAAUGUUGGGGUGGCGCAUUCAAAUCAAUCAAACUUUUUGCACAAUUCUUAGGAGCCGAUGAAAUGGCUUGGCAGGCCGCAUCUAGGGGCCAGAGUUUGAGACCCCUGCUUUAGAGCAAAAACAAUGGUCACAGGGGCAUGGACAAACUCCCUGUUAAUCGGCUAGGUUGAGAUAUGCAAAGAAGGGGGGGGGGGGGGGGGGAGGCGAAACGAUCAGGAACAGAAAAAAUCAUACAUGUAAUAUGAUGAGCAUGCUAGCAUACAUGUGGUAAAGGUACACAGCAUACAUGUGGUAAAGGUACAUAUUACAUAGAAACACAACAUGGUUUGGAUAACGUGGGGAGAGAGAGCAUUAAAAGUAUUGUAGAACAGCUUAGUGGGUAUACAGUGCGCUCGUAAGGUUAUCAUUAGAAAGAAGUAGAGUAAUGGAACAGAAAACUAUGUUAAUGGUGGCAAUUAUUUACAUCGCAGGUAAAUUCUAGCACAGAUUAUGGGGUAGAAUAAGUGCAUGACAGUGUCAGGGCUUUAAAGUUUUGAAGACAGGCAAGAGUGACAUCCCCCCCCCCCCCCCCCCCCCCGGGGGG